CAACAGCAGCAAAAAACAAAACAAAAACUGGUGGCACAUGCCUGUAUUCCCUUCACUGGAAGGCUAAGAGAAGAGGAAGCAGUUUGAAGCCCAGUCUUGUCAAGAUUUAGAGAACCCAACUCAACAUAAAAUUUGUUUUUAAGGCCAUUUGUGGUGGCACAUGCAUGUAAUACCAGUGUUCAGGAGGCUAGAGCAGGAAGAUCACUGUGAGGUUUGCAACCAUACUGGGCUACAUAAUGAGUCAGAAAUCAUAGCAAUACCCUCUCUCCAAAAAAAAAAAUUCAAAAAGAAAAAGAAGAACAACGAAGAAAAAAUAUAUAUAAAAUGUCUCUCAGUGCAUCUCAGUGUGAAGUCUCUGGCUGUGUUCAAAUCCCUUACUGCAGAUGGUGUCUUUCUGUGAUUUGCAAAGGACAUUGUUGCCCUGUCAUCCCAGAACUCUGGGAGGCUGUGGCAAGAAGAUUGAAAAUUUGAGCCUACCCUGCACAUUUUUGCAAUGCCGUACUCACCAAAAAAAAAAAAAAAAAAAAAAAAAUGGGGCCAUAGCUGACUGCAAACUGGGGACUCUGUUCAAUCUCCAUUCGGGAGUUGGUGGUAUUCUUGAGUGACAUGUUUAUCAUUGAAGAACUGCGGUGAGUCUCCUGAGCUUCAAUCCAUCUGUCAAUAUUUGGAGUUUUAAGAUACAGACAGUAGCCUAGAGAAGAAACUUUAGCCUUAUACAAGCAGUAUCAUGUCUUUUGGAAAAGGAAUUCAGCCUCUGAGGGCCUACAGGGGUCCAGGUAAGAACUCUUGUCUUUACAGAGAGGUAGCAUGACAGUGCCUCGCACCUAUUGUCUAUUGUGCAUAUUCUGUGUUUAGGGUGCAUCAAAAGACCUUUCUAGUCUGUCUAAGACAGAUGGGAUUUUGACUGAAAGAUGACUCUUCAAGAAAGAGGUGACAGACCUGGGGAUGAACCUCAGCGGCACAGUGCCUGCCUGAAAAUAUAAGCUUUUGACUGAAGCAAUGAAGCCAUAUCAUUAGACAGAGGAUUUCCAUGUGCUGGAAGGAUUAAAGGGAAAUGAGACCUUUUACUUGUAGGAGUACAAUAGUCAUCACAAGGUCAAGACUGAAUGUCAAUCGGCAUCCAACGCAAAAACACUAGAUGAGGACAUAGAGCAACAGUCUUUUCAAAAGAUGGGAUCUGAAGGUGCCUUGCUUUGUCCUACUAUCAUCUAGGGAAGCCUUUGGCAGUCAACCCAUGGUAUCUGCUCAUUUUCUGCUCAACAAAUGUACUGAUUCUAUGACAACAGGAACACUGAAAUGGCAUCCAGGAUUUGGAACACUGGAUGGACACUGACAAAGAAUCAAUCCUUAUAAAAAUUUCAGACCUCAGAGCCUCAGAGGGGGAGGCUUUUGGUGGAUUGCAAAUGGGAGAUACAGAGGCAGAAUAGUUGACUUUGAUUAGUUAUUACAACAUGCAUUAUAGUGACCAACUAUAUAUCUAAGUGACCAGCUGUGUCUGAGAAACAGUAGUAACAGGAACUGUAAAAAGAACUGUUACCCA